AUGCCCCUCGCUCACGCCAGGACUCGUCAUCGCCGCCGAUCGAGUUCCUCGCUGAACCCCGCUCGCCGGUGUCCCGUUCCCGUCCGGAUCCAGAGGAUCCCGUCGCCUGUUGCCGGCUCCUCACAGGGUUUCGAGAGCUGCUGCUCGCUUGGACCGCUGCCCUGCCAAGACGAAGACUGCCCUGUACCGUUGCCUCGCUGGAUCGUCGAGAUCGUCUCGGAUUGCGCAAGUACACGGGAGGCCUGUGCGUUUUUCGUUGCUUCAUACCCGUUGAAUCGUCAAGGCCUCUGCUCGACUCCGUGUUCAACUACACGGUGA
rnacentral:rRNA from 1 species